AUUGAACGCUGGCGGCAUGCCUUACACAUGCAAGUCGAACGGCAGCGGGGGAGAAGCUUGCUUUUCCUGCCGGCGAGUGGCGAACGGGUGAGUAAUACAUCGGAACGUGCCCUGUAGUGGGGGAUAACUAGUCAAAAGAUUAGCUAAUACCGCAUACGGCCUGAGGGUGAAAGUGGGGGACCGCAAGGCCUCAUGCUAUAGGAGCGGCCGAUGUCUGAUUAGCUAGUUGGUGGGGUAAAGGCCUACCAAGGCGACGAUCAGUAGCUGGUCUGAGAGGACGAUCAGCCACACUGGGACUGAGACACGGCCCAGACUCCUACGGGAGGCAGCAGUGGGGAAUUUUGGACAAUGGGCGAAAGCCUGAUCCAGCAAUGCCGCGUGUGUGAAGAAGGCCUUCGGGUUGUAAAGCACUUUUGUCCGGAAAGAAAUGGCUCUGGUUAAUACCUGGGGUCGAUGACGGUACCGGAAGAAUAAGGACCGGCUAACUACGUGCCAGCCGCCGCGGUAA
rnacentral:rRNA from 1 species